rnacentral:rRNA from 1 species
UUGGGCGUAAAGGGUCUGCAGGUGGCUUCAUAAGUUGAGUGUGAAAUCCUACGGCCUUAACCGUGGGCUUGUACUCAAAACUAUGGAGCUAGAGUGUGUCAGAGGUUAGCGGAAUUUUGGGAGUAGGGGUAAAAUCCGUAGAUACCCAGAGGAACACCAAUAGCGAAAGCGGCUAACUGGGACACAACUGACACUCAGAGACGAAAGCGUGGGUAGCGAACAGGAUUAGAUACCCUGGUAGUCCACGCCCUAAACGAUGAACACUAGGUUUAAGAGGGAAUCGACCCCCUUUUGAACUAUAAGCUAACGCGUUAAGUGUUCCGCCUGAGUAGUACGAGCGCAAGCUUAAAACUCAAAGGAAUAGACGGGGGCCUACACAAGCGGUGGAGCGUGUGGCUUAAUUCGACGAUAAACGGGUAACCUUACCUGGGUUUGACAUCCUCCGAAUUCUGCAGAAACGUAGAAGUGCCCUUUUUGGGAGCGGAGUGACAGGCGCUGCAUGGUUGCCGUCAGCUCGUGUCGUGAGAUGUUCGGUUAAUUCCGCUAACGAGCGCAACCUUUGUCCUGUGUUGUAUUUCUCACAGGAGACUGCCCGGGUAACCGGGAGGAAGGAAGAGAUGACGUCAAAUCAGCAUGGCUCUUAUACCCAGGGCUGCACACGCGCUACAAUGGCCGGUACAACGGGGAUGCAAAGUAGUAAUAUGGAGCAAAUCCUAAUAAAACCGGUCCAAGUUCGGAUUGAGGGCUGCAACUCGCCCUCAUGAAGUUGGAAUCGCUAGUAACCGGGAAUCAUUAUGUCCCAGUGAAUCUGUUCAUAGGCAUUGUACUCACCGCCCGUCAUGGCAUGAGAGUUGGGAAUAUCCGAAGUCUCUCCGAUAAGGAGGGCAUAA